GGCGGCGAUUGCUGCUAUGAAACCGCCUGGAGGGAAACGGCCAUCUUUACAAACGGGAAAUGAACCAGUUUGAACAGCGGACCAAUCAGGGACACAGGAGGUACCCUGACAGAACCCACCGUAUGCACAGGGGGACCAUGCAAAUUCAAUGCAGAAAGACUCCAAACAGGACAUUCUUGUUAAAAUGCAGUAAUGAUACCAAUUCUGCCACCAGGCUCUGCCUCCGCAUUGCUGGUCCCAGUGGACAAGAUCUCUGAGGACAUCUCAUUCUGUCAGCUGCUGUGUCGGAAGAAGAGGGGGAAGAAGGAAGCACAGUUUGAAGUAGCCUCUGGAUUUGAGCGUCGCUGCUGUAGCUGUUGCUUAUCUGUGCAAAUCCAAGACAUAUUGUUGCAGUUUUAGUGUUUUGUAUUUGUGCAAAACAGUGUGUCUACCUCGACCACACAUCAGUGACUGCAGCAGCAGCCAGCCCAGCUGCAGUGAACAUGUGGACGGGUAAGAACGGUCUUUCUGGGCCUGAUAGCCCAUCUCACCAUGGCAACACUUCCCCACUGUGCGUCCCUGCUGCUGCAUUAGUUUUCUGCACACUGCGUGCAAACCAGGUCUGCAGCAUCCCUUACACUUACUAAAGGGCGCACGCACAGCAACAAGCCCAUCUUACCAAACUGAUAAAGACUUAUGAUACAGUGACUCUGGUGUUAAUGUGCUCUGAAAUUAGAAAACAAUUUGGAGUCAAGUAUGAUACAGAGGUAGUUAUUAUCUUAAUAAGUUCAUAAAAUAAGUCUGUUAAGGGAUUUAAUUUGUCACAUUUGUGUUAUUAAAGUAAGAAAAAUACAAAAGUCGGGUGUUGGCACACAUGUCUGGUCCAUAAUCAGUCUGAAAGUGGUGAUAUUGUUAAAAUACAGUUAUCUGGUCAGAUAUUAAUAACAUACAUCACCUUACAAAAGCACAGGAAGAGCGCAACAUUUAUUCAUCCAUUCAUUGUUGUAAUUUAAAUUUGGUCCCACUAUAAAUAAAGCUUUUCUGUUACAGUGGUGGAGAUCUGGAACAGAGUAGACAAGUUAGAGAUGGAAGUUAAAAAAAAAAAUUGUAGGGUUCAAAUCCCAGGCAUUUAAUAUAUCAUGAAAUGUUUCUCAUUCAAUGAAAGAAGGUGCAGCAAGACUGAACAUUUUGCUAAAUGCUAUGCAUGCGAGAAAACUAAUAUUAUACUUGAACUCUCCCUAUUUUUGUGGUGAAACAUGGUAUUGAGUACAUCAUGCUGUGGGCAUGCCUUUUCUUGAGCAGGAACAGAAAACUUGCUAAUUGUUACAAAACACUUUGAAAAAGGAUAAAGAUCCCCUUCAAACAGAGCGACAAAACUGAAAUGGUUUAGCUCAAAGCACCUUCACUUCUUAAGGUGGUCCAGAGUCCAGACAUAGAUCCUAUUGAGAACGUGCGGCAAGACAUUAAUAAAUUUGAAGUUGCCAGAUGGUUUCCAUCUAAGUGUGUGCAAAGUUAGAGGAGAAACACACCAAAAGAAUAGCUGCUGUCAGAACAUUACAUUUUACAGCUGUAUGGUGUCUAAAUACAGAUAAUCCAUUCAUAUUUCAACAGAAACACAAAACAUAGCACCUGUUUGAUUGUUGACAACUUUGUUAACCUUGGCGUUUAUUGUGUGUUAAUUAUUUAGUUCUUUAUAUAACACACAUCUUGGUUUUCUUCUUGAAUUUAAACAAGAUAUUUAUAGUUCUGUGGAAAAAAGGGGGACACUUCACUUAUAUGUGUUCUACUGUUUACAAAAUACUAAUAUCAUUUUAUUAUUGCAAAUAAUACAUUUGAAGUAUUGACAAUUUGCACAAAACUUAUUAUAAAGUAGCCAUUUGUGCCUUGUUGUUAGUAUUUAUCCUAAAAAUCUAUCUGCAAAAGGAAAACAAGCAAACUAACAAAAGAAAACAAAUACAGUGUAAUAUUAACAUCAGUUUACAAUGUUGUUGUCACAUCAAAGACUCCUGGCGAUCACAGGUAAAGAGCGAUAUAUAUUUUUAUUACUUGUCUAGAAAUGCAUUUGCAGGGGGAAAAAAGUGGCAUGACUUGCCUAUUUUUAAUCCCUGUUAAAUGAAGCAGAGGCAGGAGUACAUUAAGCAAAAAUGUAAAUAAUUAAAACUAAAUAGUGCUUGCCGUGACCUGAAGCUGAACUGGUGGUUGCUAAGGUCACAACAUAAAGUACCACUGCCUCCGUGAUAUAAACGCUCCUCUGCUGCAAAUCAGCUUGGCAAACAAUUAAUAU